rnacentral:rRNA from 1 species
CUUGUCGGGUAAGUUCCGACCCGCACGAAAGGCGUAACGAUUUGGGCACUGUCUCAACGAGAGACUCGGGGAAAUCAUAGUACCUGUGAAGAUGCAGGUUACCCGCGACAGGACGGAAAGACCCCGUGGAGCUUUACUGUAGCCUGAUAUUGAAAUUCGGCACAGCUUGUACAGGAUAGGUAGGAGCCUUUGAAACGUGAGCGCUAGCUUACGUGGAGGCGCUGGUGGGAUACUACCCUAGCUGUGUUGGCUUUCUAACCCGCACCACUUAUCGUGGUGGGAGACAGUGUCAGGCGGGCAGUUUGACUGGGGCGGUCGCCUCCUAAAAGGUAACGGAGGCGCUCAAAGGUUCCCUCAGAAUGGUUGGAAAUCAUUCAUAGAGUGUAAAGGCAUAAGGGAGCUUGACUGCGAGACCUACAAGUCGAGCAGGG